AUUAACACCUGGUAGAGAAAACCGGAUCAAAAAGGUGGCUUUCCCCGGGCAAGGAUUAUCCAUUGCACUAUGGAUGUACUGCUGGCCCCUGUAAUUUUCCCAAAGGCCAGAAGGAGUCUUGAUGUUAUUUAUAAUCUGUGGAAGCAUUAGGACUGCAUUUGUGCUCUA